rnacentral:rRNA from 1 species
AGUCGAGCGAGCUUGCCUAGAUGAUUUUAGUGCUUGCACUAAAUGAAACUAGAUACAAGCGAGCGGCGGACGGGUGAGUAACACGUGGGUAACCUGCCCAAGAGACUGGGAUAACACCUGGAAACAGAUGCUAAUACCGGAUAACAACACUAGACGCAUGUCUAGAGUUUGAAAGAUGGUUCUGCUAUCACUCUUGGAUGGACCUGCGGUGCAUUAGCUAGUUGGUAAGGUAACGGCUUACCAAGGCAAUGAUGCAUAGCCGAGUUGAGAGACUGAUCGGCCACAUUGGGACUGAGACACGGCCCAAACUCCUACGGGAGGCAGCAGUAGGGAAUCUUCCACAAUGGACGAAAGUCUGAUGGAGCAACGCCGCGUGAGUGAAGAAGGGUUUCGGCUCGUAAAGCUCUGUUGGUAGUGAAGGAAGAUAGAGGUAGUAACUGGCCUUUAUUUGACGGUAAUUACUUAGAAAGUCACGGCUAACUACGUGCCAGCAGCCGCGGUAAUACGUAGGUGGCAAGCGUUGUCCGGAUUUAUUGGGCGUAAAGCGAGUGCAGGCGGUUCAAUAAGUCUGAUGUGAAAGCCUUCGGCUCAACCGGAGAAUUGCAUCAGAAACUGUUGAACUUGAGUGCAGAAGAGGAGAGUGGAACUCCAUGUGUAGCGGUGGAAUGCGUAGAUAUAUGGAAGAACACCAGUGGCGAAGGCGGCUCUCUGGUCUGCAACUGACGCUGAGGCUCGAAAGCAUGGGUAGCGAACAGGAUUAGAUACCCCUGGUAGUCCAUGCCGUAAACG